AUCUAAUUUAUUUCUCACUUGGUUGUUGUCAUUAGUAAGAUCCUACAUAAAAAAGCAUUGAGAGUUUUAGGAGGCAUUUAGUAAUGUUAGCUCCUUUCUACUUGUACUGUAGUAAUGCAUUCUUUAGGAUCAAGUUCCCCCGACAGUGAGUUGUCUGAAAUGAAGAAAGCUAAAGUCAUUCCAACAUUCCAAGUCAUUAUGUAGGAAAGCCUCAGUGCCUGGAGAAGCUAGACCUGGCAGGUGGUAGAUGCUCACUAAAUGCACAUUUAUUAAUGAUUUUAUGGGAUUUUACUUCAUUGGGGAGAGGGGAACCCCUGUAGGUUGGCCUGUGAGACCUGUGAGUGAGUGGUCUCUUAGUUUGCCCAUUUGCAGAGUUGGCUUUGUCUGCUUAUUAUUCUCCCAAUUAUGAAGGAUUGGCGAGAUGAUCAAAUGUCAUUAGUAAAUUACAAAUAAGAGGUUGGUGCUUGUAGGGCUGUUAAGUCAGCCUGGCUGCUGAGAGCCAUUUAGUGUCUUGGAAUGGGCAAUUUGUUAAAUGACACAUAAGAAAGUUGAAAGAAUUAAUGUUCCUCUCCAAGGAGCAAUUUAUUCCUUUUUUUUUUUAAUUCAUUCAGCCUAAAUAUUUAUUCACAGCCUUGGGUUCCUUGUAAGAGAGAAGCUAUAAAAAACAAUAUGAUCAUCUUCUCUUUAUUUUCUUAUUUAGAGCCAUAAGACCCGAGGAAGAAGCAUAAUAGGCAGGAUGGAUAGUAGCACCCCUAGAGGAAUUCUGUGGGUAAUAGAAGCUGCCAAACUGAAUACAAGAAAUCACACAUGACACGUACAGCAUUGGGAAAAUAUUUGAAUCUGCAUAGAAGUUUGUCAGAUGCAUGAUGGCUAAACCUGCUAUACUUUUCCUAAUGAAGAUUGUUCCAGGCUUCAUGGAUGAAGAGCAAACAGGACAGAGUUCUGUUCAUCUUGGGCUUAUCCACAUGCCAAAUCCUGGCUUCCAGCCUUAUCCCUCUGUUCCAACUCCCUUAUUGUCUCCACUUUGGCAUCUUCUUAAUGAAUAGCUAUUUAAAAACCAACCAGAAAGGACACGCAAGUCUCGAAUCAAGGCAACUUGUUGAUGGAAGAAGACACACUAUCAGAAGAGGAGUGUCAAGGAGUAGAAUUGCUGAAGGUGUAAAUACAUAG
rnacentral:lncRNA from 1 species